AAUUGGUUCGACAUAUCACAGGGCAAAGGUAGCAAAAAAUCUCGCAACACAGGGAGAAGUAUUAUCCAUGGACCUAAAAAGAAAAGGCAGGUGUUUGCCAGCCGAGCUAGUGCGGGAAGUGGUCAAUUUUUACCAUGAUGAUGACGUGAGUUCUCUCCGGCCCGGUAAAAAAGAGUUCUUGCCUCGUCGUAAUAAUGAGGGUGUUCGAGUUCAGCACCAAGAGCGACUUCUUCUUGGGAAUCUAAGAGAAUUAUAUCAACGAUUCAAAGAAAUCCACCUCGAUAUGUCUAUCGGAUUCUCAUCAUUUAGAACUGCAUUCUGAUUACUGCGUUCUGGCAGGAAGUGGAGGGAUACUGUGUGCGUUUGUUCGAGCCACCAGAACUUUAAAUUAAUGAUGACAGGCCUAAAGAAUUGUAAUAUUCAUUAAACUCUCGAUUGAAGCGACACACAAUCGAACAAUCCGCUAUGUAUCGUUCCGAUCAAUUUAGGUUGCAAAUUCUUUCACGCCAGCAAAGUGUCCAGUUCGAGAUGUACGAGGAUGUUUUACAACUAUUGAUAUGCCGCGAUUUUAAUCCUAUUUGUCAUUUCAAUGUCUUGGAGAUGCGGAUUUAAAAAGAAUGAUAACAGGAUUAUUCGGCGAAAAUAAUGUCGAAUCCGUUACGUACGAGUCUUGGAUAACGAAGUCGCGCUGCACUCUAAUAACAAAGACUUGCAGCGCUGAGGAAUUUGUAGAAGUUUUCUGCAAUGAAGCAAGAUCUCUUCUGCAAUAUUCUUUCAUAACUAAGCAACAAUCUAGUUAUCAGAGAUUUGUCAAAGAUAAUUUAGCAAAUGAUGAAUGUAUGGUAAUUUGUGACUUCGCCGAAAACUAUGCAUUCAUUAUUCGGGACGCGGCCCCAGGAUUUCAUUGGAACAAUAAUCAGGCGACUGUCUAUCCUGUAGUUUUAUAUUACAAAUUCAAUGGAAUCUUGAGCCACAAAAGUCUUACGAUCAUCUCGGAUUGUUUGGAUCACGACGCCAUCACGGUUUGGGCGUUUUCGCGAUUUGUGAACGAAUUCAUGAAGUUUUUCGUACCAAACAUCUCGAAAAUAAUUUAUUUUUCUGACGAAACACCGCAGCAAUUCAAAAAUUUUAAAAAUUUCUCGAACAUUUACCACCACGAGGUCGACUUUGGUGUUCGCGUUAAAUGGCACUUCUUUGCCACUGCUCAUGGCAAAGGGCCAUGUGAUGGGAUCGGUGGGACGCUGAAACACUUAGCUGCGCGAGCAAGUCUUCAACGUCCUACCGACCAACUAAUUUUGGAGCCGAUGGAUUUAUUCAACUAGGCUAAUGAACCGGGCACAUUGCCAUCCAUCACUAUCAAGUAUUGGGACAAAAAGAAUUAUGAAAUCGUCGCUGAAUUUUUGACAGGUCGGUACGAUCAAACGAAAAGAAUACCUCAGACUCAACGUGUCCACUGCGUCAUAUCAAAUAAAAAUUAUAAAUUAAUUGUUAAAGAUUACUCAUUUUCGGAUAAUUAUA